GGGGCUGAUUUGUCUGGUUUUCUACCUGAGAAGGAGUUCUAUGCAAUGAACUAUCCUAAGUGGAAGGGAGAAGGGUUUUCUGAGUUUUUUAAUGAGGAGACAUAUCGGAUUUGGGAUAAGGAUGCUGGAUUUCCAAAAGGUUUUAGAGAUAUUUUGCUAAGGACUUUUAGGAAUAGAGUCAUCAUUCCAAGUGAGAUUGAUGGAAGGUCCACUAGCUUUGAAAUUCCACAAUUUAACAUUGUGGGCCCGAUUGGAAAGCAGUUUUUGGAUCUCAUUCGGGCCCACAAUGUUAAAUUGUGGGAUUUCAAAGCUAGUGCAACUUCCAUCAAUCUCACUUGGAAUGAUGACUCUAUUCCUAAAAGUCCUUAGCAAAAUAUCUCUAAAACCUUUUGGAAAUCCAGCAUCCUUAUCCCAAAUCCGAUAUGUCUCCUCAUUAAAAAACUCAGAAAACCCUUCUCCCUUCCACUUAGGAUAGUUCAUUGCAUAGAACUCCUUCUCAGGUAGAAAACCAGACAAAUCAGCCCCACCUUCCUUUGCACAUUGGAUUUCGCAACCCAUGUUGCAAAUGAAUUUGCCACCGCAUUACAGUGUCUGCUAACCCAUUCAAGCUUGACACUAAAACCCUUUCCCUCAAGUAACUCAUCUCUUAUCUUCUUCAGGGUUUUGUCAAUCGAUGUAUCCUUUAAAACUUUAUUUUGAACAACAUUUCGAGGGAUGUGGAGUGUAUCCACCUGGAUAUGAAAAUCUGGAUUUCCAAAAGGUUUUAGAGAUAUUUUGUCAAGGACUUUUAGGAAUAGAGUCAUCAUUCCAAGUGAGAUUCAUGGAAGGUCCACUUUGAAAUCCCACAAUUUAACAUUGUGGGCCCGAUUGGAAAGCAAUUUUUGUAUCUUAUUGAUGUUACUGCAAAACUUAUUUCUGAUGAGGAAAUUUCGAGCAUUUUAGCCCAGUUCUGUUGUGAGGGAGAAGAUACUCCCAAAGAAGAGUAUUUGAUUGAUGUGAACUACAUUAAAAAAGCAAGAAAACCUCCUAAUGAUCUGGGGUGCUAAAAGUGUUUGCCCAAUACAAAAAAGGUUCAAACAAGACAAAUACGGUACUCAAAAAGUCAAUACCUGAUCCAAUAAUUGAAUUCCAUCGGAGGUGGAAAUACUUUGGAUCCUUUUGUUUUCAAAUCACGAAGUCAACCAAUUUCCAAGAAUCUGAUGAGGACUGUGACCGUUUUGAAGCUUACCAAGAUAGUAUGAGUAAAUUACCUCUUGUGAGUUAUGACGGGUACAAGCCUCAUUUAAAGAGCAUCAGGAGAAAGGAACGAGAACUUCUAUGCCUUGCUGGGAACAAUUCCUGUUGGGGGGGAUUUUGGAUAGUGGAACAAGUUGUAAUUAAAAUUUCUACUAAUUAGGACAGUUCCUUUUUCUUUCUUUUUUAUUUUUCUAUUUGUUUUUUGAUGGUGUUACAAGUGUUGUAGCUUAUAGAGAAGUUAUUUUAAUUUCUUCAUUUCUAUUGUAUUGGAUUGUUACCAAUCACGAGACCAUGGAUGAAAUUAAGCAUUUUCUAUAUUUAUGAUUACUUACCCCU